rnacentral:rRNA from 1 species
CCUACGGGCGGCAGCAGUCGAGAAUCAUUCACAAUGGGGGAAACCCUGAUGGUGCGACGCCGCGUGGGGGAAUGAAGGUCUUCGGAUUGUAAACCCCUGUCAUGUGGGAGCAAAUUAAAAAGAUAGUACCACACGAGGAAGAGACGGCUAACUCUGUGCCAGCAGCCGCGGUAAUACAGAGGUCUCAAGCGUUGUUCGGAAUCACUGGGCGUAAAGCGUGCGUAGGCUGUUUCGUAAGUCGUGUGUGAAAGGCGCGGGCUCAACCCGCGGACGGCACAUGAUACUGCGAGACUAGAGUAAUGGAGGGGGAACCGGAAUUCUCGGUGUAGCAGUGAAAUGCGUAGAUAUCGAGAGGAACACUCGUGGCGAAGGCGGGUUCCUGGACAUUAACUGACGCUGAGGCACGAAGGCCAGGGGAGCGAAAGGGAUUAGAUACCCUAGUAGUC